UACGUAGGGUGCAAGCGUUGUCCGGAAUUAUUGGGCGUAAAGAGCUCGUAGGCGGUUUGUCGCGUCGAAUGUGAAAACACGAGGCUCAACUUCGUGCCUGCAUUCGAUACGGGCAGGCUCGAGUUCGGUAGGGGAGACUGGAAUUCCUGGUGUAGCGGUGAAAUGCGCAGAUAUCAGGAGGAACACCGAUGGCGAAGGCAGGUCUCUGGGCCAUUACUGACACUGAGAAGCGAAAGCAUGGGGGAGCGAACAGG
rnacentral:rRNA from 1 species